AUGGAAAAUCAUGGUGGUGGAUGGUGCAAUGGUGGUGAGAAUGGUGUUGGAAUGCUGACAGUCGGGUCAGUGUCUGUGACACCCAGAGUGGACAUGAGGGCCCCUGUGCAGCUCCUCAGCUUCCUGCUGAUCUGGCUCCCGGGUUCCUGGUGUAAUAUUCAGAUGACCCAGUCUCCAUCCGUGUCUGCAUCUCUGGAAGAGAAAGUCACCAUCACCUGCAAGGCCAGUCAGAAUAAUUACCAUCAUUUAGCCUGGUACCAGCAGAAAACAGGGAAAGCUCCCAGGCUCCUGAUCUAUGGUGCCAGCAAUUUAGGACCAGAUGUCCCUUCCCGAUUCAGUGCCAGUAUAUCUGGGACAGAAUUCAUUCUCGCCAUCAGCAGCCUGAAGUCUGAGGAUGCUGUCACUUAUUACUGUCAACGGCAUAGUAGUUUCCCUCUCACAGUGAUACAGGCCAGAACAUAA